rnacentral:misc_RNA from 1 species
UUUGAGGGUGGGAUCCAUGGAUGAUGGGUUUUUUUUAUUUUAGGGGGGAGUGGCCGAUGAUGCUAAGAUGCACUCAAAGUUUGCCUGAAGGACCCAAAACUCCUCCCUACAUUUACUGCCUUUGCCUUUCUAAUCGGGUCAACGCUCUUCCAAUUAUGAGGUUUCUGUACGCAUUAGUUAUAUAAGAGUGUUGAUCUCAGAGGUGUUGUUGAUUUCUGUUUCAAAAUGUAUACAUUGUAUGAAUACGUGCUUUAUUGGAUUAGUUUCUUUUGAGAGCAUUGUGCCAAGUACUUGACUAGAGAUUAACAGCGUGUAAUUUUGUUAGAGUUUGGGUUGAUUUGGGCUGAAGUUUGGAUCGUAGGGGCUCAAUUGACCCAAUUUAAACUUUGGGGCCGAAUUGAUUAUGUGAUGCGGUAUUGGAAAAGGAUUAAACUUGGGAAUUAUAGUCAUUGUAGAGUUAGGAAGUUUAAGAGUAUUUUAGGAAUUUUAUUUUUCUUAGGUUAAUUCCUAGUUUUUGUUUAGAAUUUCUAAGUGAUCAACUGUAUGACAAUCUCCACAAAAAACUGAUAUGCUGAUAUUAUGAUUAUUUUCAUUGUGAAAUGUAUCUUUCUCUGCAAGUUUUUUGGAUCUUCUAUAUUUGCAGUGGCUGAUUUGUUUGUCUAUAUUGACUACAGAAUUACUUGGAUGGGUAAGACAAUUCAAGUGUAUGGAUUCCCUUCUAGUGUUACUGCAAAUGCAGUUAAGAGUUUUCUGGAAAUGCAUACAGGUGAAGGAACAAUUUUUGCCAUCAAGAUAAGGGAAACCAAAAAUGGGGGUCCAAGAAAAUAUGCUAUUGUUCAAUUCAUGACCGUCAGAGAUGCUGAAUAUAUUCUCUCUCUGACUAAUGAACGACUUUGGUAUGGUACUUCAUAUAUUAAGGCUCGGCCGAUGGAUCUUGAUAUUGUACCAAAGCCCAGGACCUUUUUGCACAGUAUGGAACAUAUAACACUGCAUUUUGGAAGUCAGUUGUCAAAAGAAAAAUUUUAUGUUCUAUGGAAAGGUACAGAUGUUUUAGUGAAUUUUGGAUCUGGAAUGAGAAAAUUGCACUUUUAUCUAUCUCAUCAUCACGUGGAGUACAAGCUUGACCUUUCCUAUGAGAACAUUUGGCAGAUAGAGCUAUAUCGUCCUCGUGGUCAAUUUGUGAAGUAUCUUGUGAUUCAGUUAUAUGGAGCACCACGGAUUUUUGAGAAAGAUAUACGCCCGUCAUGGAAUGUGUAUGAGAAUCCACUUUUCAACUUUUUUAAGGAUGUCCCAGAUGACCAGUGGAUCAGGACAACUGAUUUUACUCCAUCAUGCCUUAUUGGGCAUUCAGCUGCAUUAUGUUUGGAACUUCCUUCCAGUCUCCGAGUUCCAAAUUUUCAGGAGAACUUUGCUUAUUAUAAAGAAACUGAAGGAAAUUUUGUUUUACAGACUGGUUCUGCUUUUUCUCGCAAUCUGGAUCUAGUUCCCAUUGUGGGUCCUCCCUCUGGUUUCGAUUUGCCAUAUGAAAUCUUAUUUCAGGUUAAUUUGUUGGUUCAGAAUGGGUGCCUUCCAGGGCCAGCACUUGAUGCUAAUUUUUACAAGUUGGUUGAUCCGAGCAGAAUGAAUAUUGUCUGCAUAGAGCAUGCUCUUGAGAAACUUUUUCACUUGAAAGAAUGUUGUUAUGAACCUUCUAGGUGGCUCAAUGAACAGUAUAGAAAGUAUCUUAUGUCUAAGAACCAUCCAAAAUCGCCUUCUAUAUCCUUAGAUACUGGUUUGGUAUAUGUGCGCAGGGUUCAAAUAACACCUUGUAAAGUGUAUUUUUGUGGUCCAGAGGUUAAUGUCUCAAACCGUGUGCUACGCCACUAUCAGAAAGAUCUCAAUAACUUUCUUCGCGUGUCUUUUGUUGACGAAGAGUUGGAUAAAAUUCAUUCAACAAAUUUAUCUCCGCGAGCCUCUUCUGAAAAUGAGGAUAGGAGAACUGCUAUUUAUAAAAGGAUUCUCUCUACUCUUCAAAAUGGAAUAGUUAUUGACAAGAAAAAGUUUGAGUUCCUUGCCUUUUCGUCUAGUCAGUUGCGGGAAAAUUCAUGCUGGAUGUUUGCUUCAAGAUAUGGUCUGACUGCUGCAGAUAUAAGGGAAUGGAUGGGCAACUUCCGUCAGAUACGAAAUGUGGCUAAAUAUGCUGCUAGACUGGGUCAGUCCUUCGGCUCAUCCACUGAAACCCUGAGUGUUAGUCGAGAUGAAAUUGAAAUUAUUCCUGACAUAGAGAUUGGAAGGGGCAGAACUACAUAUACGUUCUCUGAUGGAAUUGGGAAAAUAUCUGCCGAAUUUGCUAGGAGGGUGGCCUUGAAAUGUCGCUGUAAAGGUUUCACGCCAUCUGCAUUUCAAAUUAGAUAUGGUGGGUAUAAAGGUGUCGUGGCAGUUGAUCCAACUUCUUCAAAAAAAUUAUCAUUGAGAAAGAGCAUGUGCAAGUAUGAGUCUGAAAAUACAAAACUGGAUGUUUUAGCGUAUAGCAAGUAUCAGCCUUGUUUUCUGAAUCGGCAACUGAUUACUCUUCUGUCUACCCUUGGUGUUCCAGAUUAUAUUUUUGAGAAAAAACAAAGAGAGGCUGUUGAUCAACUUAAUGCUAUGUUAACAGAUCCAUUAAGGGCACAGGAGGCACUGGAUUUGAUGUCCCCAGGAGAGAUUGCUAACAUUCUGAAGGAAAUGCUUUUGUGUGGUUAUAAGCCCGAUGCAGAACCAUUCCUUUCAAUGAUGCUCCAAACAUUCCGGGCAUCAAAAUUGCUUGAUUUGCGGAUGAAAACUAGGAUUUUUCUUCCAAAUGGAAGAUCUAUGAUGGGAUGUCUAGAUGAGACUAGAACUUUGGAAUACGGACAGGUAUUCGUGCAAUUUUCUGGUACUAGACAUAUGCGGCUAUAUGAUACUUCCAACAUGUUUGGAGGUAGUGGAUCUGACCAGCAUUUUGUGAUUGAGGGAAAGGUGGUUGUAGCUAAGAACCCAUGCUUGCACCCUGGUGAUGUUCGUGUCUUAAGCGCUGUGAAUGUGCCCGCUUUGUACCAUAUGGUGGAUUGUGUUGUUUUUCCACAGAAAGGACAAAGACCUCAUCCAAAUGAAUGUUCUGGAAGUGAUUUGGAUGGAGAUAUCUACUUUGUCUGUUGGGAUACGGGUUUAAUCCCACAUAAGCAAAUUGCACCAAUGGACUAUACGCCAGAGCCAACUAUGCAGCUGGAUCAUGAUGUUACGAUUGAGGUAUUACAUUGUUAGCAUUUGACAAAUUAUCUAUUAUCAAAUGUAGUGAUCAUGUUUUCCUCCCUGGUAAGUUAUUCAGUGCUUAAAUUUAUGAAUCAAAUGCUUUCUGUUGUAUGGUAAAUUCUAGAAUUAGCAUACUUGAAUGUUUUAUUAGUUUUUGCUUUUUCCUGCCCAACAAUAACUAAGAAAUAUUGUACCAAUUUCUCAACAAUUUUUCUAUUUAGUUUAGUCGAAGUGCCUUAUUUCUGCGUGACCAUGAUUGUACUACUACACCUGCAUCUAUUAUGUAUCAAAGUCAGUUAUGUGGACUUUUCACCUGAUGUGUUCACACUUAUAUGUCUAUUCUGUUAGCGAACAAAUACAAAAUUUUUUAGAUGAACCAACAAUUGACAUAAUUUACGCAAGAAAUAAGAAGCAGAUGAAAGGGAGUUGCCAAUUGAUAAUUUUCUGAAUCUCAUUAAAAACUUCAAAGAGACACUUUUGACCUGGAGAUUUCAAUGUUUACUAUCUAACAAUGAUAUCUAGUAGUUUUAUCCUUUCCUAGCCUAUUCAGGUUAUUUUAGGGCGCAAUGAUAAAUUGUUCUUUUGUUUACUUUUGCACAAUGUGUUGUUCUGGUUUAAAAGGGGACACUGAAAACUCUGUCAUGUUUCUUGGUACAACAACAACAACAGCAACAAUCAAGUCUUAAUCCCAAACUAGUUGAAGUUGGUUAUAUGUAUCUUUUUCGCCAUUCAACUCUGUUGGACACCAAGUCUGCAUCAAUAUCCUUUCUUGGUACAAAGAAGAAAAGAAAAUAAAAAGUGUAGCUCAAUGCUAGAGAGUUUCUAAGGGAAGAAUAUUUAAGUACAUAUUUCAAUCACAGAAGAAUAUUUUACUGUCAAUCAGAGUCAUUUGCGAGUAGUGUACGUAUGCUACCAAUCACAUUUGUCUCUAUAUUGUGUUUGAACAGUGAAAAAAAAGGGAUAUACAUAUGUUUUCCCUAUAGAUUCUCCCAUGCUAUUUUAAGGAAACCAUAUUUCCCCUUCAUUUAAUGAUUUUCAUUUUGUUUUUACAGGAAGUUGAGGAGUAUUUCACCAACUACAUUGUAAAUGACAGUUUGGGAAUAAUCUCUAAUGCUCACACUGUCUUUGCUGAUAGGGAACAUUACAAAGCAAUGAGUGAUCCAUGCAUAGAACUUGCACGUAAAUUUUCAAUUGCAGUUGAUUUUCCAAAAACUGGAGUACCAGCUGUAAUACCUCCACAUCUAUUUGUCAAAGAAUAUCCUGAUUUUAUGGAAAAGCCUGACAAGCCCACCUAUGAAUCUCAGAAUGUGAUUGGCAAGCUUUUUCGGGAAGUGAGAGACAUUGCACCGCAUGCAAGUUCUAUCAAGUCCUUUACUAAGGAAGUGGCGGAGCAGUGUUAUGACUCUGAUAUGGAAGUUGAUGGCUUUGAGGAUUACAUAGAUGAUGCCUUUUAUUACAAAAGCAGUUAUGACUUUAAGUUGGGCAAUCAUAUGGACUAUUAUGGCAUCAGAACUGAGGCUGAAAUUCUCGGUGGAAAUAUUAUGAAAAUGUCAAAAUCUUUCACCAAGAGAAGGGAUGCAGAAGCAAUUGGAAUGGCUGUGAGGUCCUUGAGGAAAGAAGCUAGGUCCUGGUUUAAUGAAAAGGGAAGUAGAGUGGAUUCUGAAGCUGAUGAUGUAUAUGCAAAAGCCUCAGCUUGGUAUUAUGUUACCUAUCAUCCUAGUUACUGGGGUUGCUACAAUGAGGGAAUGGGACGAGAUCAUUUUCUUAGCUUUCCAUGGUGUGUUUAUGACAAGCUGAUCGAGAUCAAGAGGAACAAAGCAAGUAUAAGAAGGUCUCUACAUUUGUCAUCUCUGGAACGCCAGUUUAAUCUUGGACUGCAGUUGAGUUGACAAGUCUUGAAAUACUUGAAGAUAUGUAUGGCGUGUGUUUUAAUUCUAUGACAGGAGCUUGUCUAUAUUCAGUUUGCCAGGGAAUUAAUUGAUUUCACUUUCACAGCUAUCAGCGGGUCACAGCUAUCAGCGGGGUCUCUAUAACAGGCCAAUCCAGAUCAAGGGGAACAAAUGAAAGCAUAAAGUUCUUAUAUUUAUCACCUAUAUAUCGUCUGUUUAGAUGUGGACUGCUUUUGAGCUUUAGAAGGCUGAUUGGGAUGUGUGUUUACAUAGUAAUUCAAUAAUGUAAACGUUUAUGUUCAUAGGGUGGUAGAGCUGGCAUGACUAAUUUGGCAAUAUUAUGUUAUAUAAGAUGUUGAAAGAUUGUGUGAUUUGCAUGAUUCUCGAUGCAUUAUCCGCUCUUAGGUGUGAAUCAGCCAUUUUCAAGGUAUGUCCCGUUAUGUGAAGGAUAUGCCAUCCUUUGAUCAACUGUACCCAGAUUGAUCGAAAAAUUGAUCUGGAAAAGGUCAUGUACUGCAAAAGGUCUAUUUAGAAAUCUAUGAAUGUCCCAAGUUUAUUUUAUCCAGUUCCCUGGCAAUUCACAAUUUUGCACAUUUAUUGAGACGUACAAGUAAAGCUGCAUUAAUGGUUUGCUCUUACGGUAGCUUUCAAUUGUGGCAUCUGCGUUUUAGAAUAACAGUUAAUUGAGAUCCUUGUGCGUAGCAUGAUAAUAAGGACAGCAUCACAUCAUCCAUUCUCUCAAGAAAUCGUUCAAACAAUUCGUUUAUAAUCUCGGCUCCAAAGUGUCUGGCGAUGACUCCUUCCAGCCCAGAUCUCAAGUGCAUUGUGAUUGAAUAUGCAGUAGCUGGGUUGUCAGGAUCAGGUACGCAAUCCGUAGGCUCCAUUCUCUCAAUGCUAAAACACCCAUUUCGUUCUACAAUCUGUCUCAUCUCCUUAGGCGUCACAGAGUACAUUGGAACGUUGAAAGAGUCCACAAGAGCUUCAGAUACUAAUCCCUCUUUUGCCAAAUCCACUAGGCAGGACUCUAAAUGAUUCAACAAUAUACCUAUCGGUACGUUGGAAAGUGGGAUCCCAUCUGGAGUUGAUGGCAUGGUUAGGACCAUCAUACUUCCCUCCACGAGUUCUUUUGCUCUGGCAUCGAAGAACGUCCCCAUGUCCUUUGAAAAUUGGGCUGCAAAAGCUUCGACUACUAUUUCUGGGGCAUUAGUGUAAUGAAUCUUCCCUUGGUUCCAUGCUGGAGAAUCCUUGUCUUGCACUUCCUGAGGCACCUCGGAAAGCCAGUGUAGUGCAUAAGAGGAAUGUACAAAAUGCAGAGAGGAAUCAGGGAACAAACGGCCGUGAAAAGAUCCCGGUACAGCGGCUGUGAAGUAUUUUCUUUUGGAAGGGAGAGACUUGAAAAGAGUAUUGAAAUCGUUGAAAGGAAGAUCAUUAAAGAAGACUUGAAAUUGAGGCACUUGAUCAGGAGUGAAGCCUUCUGAUAUGAACUUCUUUUCCACAGCAUCAAGAAUAUUGUGUGUACUGUAGAAUGCGUUAGGGCCCACUGAACAUCCCAUAUCCGCAACACAAAAUGCUUUGUAAGUAGAUGAAAAUGGUUCUAUUUCAAGCUUCUCCAUGAUCGUUUCAUCAAUCACUUCCGUAACAAAUACCAUGACUGGUCUCUGUCGACAAUUGACAGCGUUCUUGGUGGUGGCCUUGACACACAUCUUCAACUCUGGUUCUGUCUGUAACACUCGCCUAUCUCUUAGCUCUAUCAGUUGCAGAACAAAAAUUUAUAGCCCAGGUGGGGGUGGCCGUCCUCCUAACAUAGAUUCUUUUCCAAAAGAAUGACUUAUGUUCAACUAACUUUUGUGUGUGUCUUUUAGUCAUCAUUGGGCAAAAGAUGGAUUUAGACACUUCUUGAUUCGAC